CUUUACUGUAGGCUGAUACUGGGUCUAGGUAGUUCUUGUGUAGGAUAGGUGGGAGGCUAUGAAGCGGGUACGCAAGUACUCGUCGAGCCGACGUUGAAAUACCACCCUGGACCUAUUUGGAUUCUAACUUCUCACAGUGAAUCCUGGAGAAGGACAAUGUCAGUUGGGCAGUUUGACUGGGGCGGUCUCCUCCAAAAGAGUAACGGAGGAGCCCAAAGGUACCCUCAGCCUGGUUGGCAAUCAGGCAGCGAGCGUAAAGGUAGAAGGGUGCUUGACUGUGAGACUUAUAAGUCGAACAGAUACGAAAGUAGGGCUUAGUGAUCCGGCGGUGCUGGAUGGAAAGGCCGUCGCUCAUCAGAUAAAAGGUA
rnacentral:rRNA from 1 species